GUGGGGAAUCUUGCGCAAUGGGCGAAAGCCUGACGCAGCCAUGCCGCGUGAAUGAUGAAGGUCUUAGGAUUGUAAAAUUCUUUCACCGGGGACGAUAAUGACUGUAGCCGGAGAAGAAGCCCCGGCUAACUUCGUGCCAGCAGCCGCGGUAAUACGAAGGGGGCUAGCGUUGCUCGGAAUUACUGGGCGUAAAGGGAGCGUAGGCGGACAUUUAAGUCAGGGGUGAAAUCCCGAGGCUCAACCUCGGAACUGCCUUUGAUACUGGGUGUCUUGAGUGUGAGAGAGGUGAGUGGAACUCCGAGUGUAGAGGUGAAAUUCGUAGAUAUUCGGAAGAACACCAGUGGCGAAGGCGACUCACUGGCUCAUUACUGACGCUGAGGCUCGAAAGCGUGGGGAGCAAACAGGAUUAGAAACCCGAGUAGUCC
rnacentral:rRNA from 1 species